GGAAACGUGGCAAUGCGGCUGCAGAAGAGGGCGAAUUGAAACCGCGAUUUGGGACGAGUCCUAAGUCCUUUAUGGGUUCAUGGGUGGAGACUAUAAUGGAAGAACACAGUCAGCAUGUUGUUUCUGUCUCUGAGCCGGUUUGCCACUGAAGACACGGAUAAUGGAGAAGUCCCGUAACUCGUCCGUGUAUGAACUGACAUAUGAGUAUUACUAUGAUUACUUGGAUCCAGUGAUCGUGGAUUCGAGAACCCUCAGAUACAACAGAUAUUCAAUCGUUAUCAUAUUCUGGAUCAUCAUGGCUGCGUUUAUUGGACUUUUCUUCUUGAUUCUGAUAAAUAUUUCCCGGACUGGGUUUCAUCCGAGGCGUCCUAGUAUUAGGAGAACAGCAAGCUUGUUAUUGAGAAGGAAAGCAAGAUGUCCUUCAUCUAAACCACUGGUGUGAUGAAAGCAAAGAAUCAGCAGUGACUCUGAGCACUGCCACUGGACUGCAGUAGCUGUAUGUGUGCAUUGACCAUCUGACUCUGGAAGCUUCGUGGGAUCAAACAUCCACAGCUACCAUCCUUAUCUGUUCAUCAAACACCUCUUCAAUAAAAUGCCUAUUUUGCAAUACCC